rnacentral:rRNA from 1 species
UACGGGGGGGGCAAGCGUUGUUCGGAAUUACUGGGCGUAAAGGGCUCGUAGGCGGCCAACUAAGUCAUACGUGAAAUCCCUCGGCUUAACCGGGGAACUGCGUCUGAUACUGGAUGGCUUGAGUUUGGGAGAGGGAUGCGGAAUUCCAGGUGUAGCGGUGAAAUGCGUAGAUAUCUGGAGGAACACCGGUGGCGAAGGCGGCAUCCUGGACCAACACUGACGCUGAGUGAGCGAAAGCCAGGGGAGCAAACGGG